rnacentral:tRNA from 1 species
GCCGGGGUGGUGAAAUUGGUAGACGCGGUGGACUCAAAAUCCACUGUCAGCGAUGACGUGUCGGUUCGAGUCCGACCCUCGGCACCA